CUCCCUUGGUGUGACCGAGAACUCCACUAGUGUCAGGAGGCCACAGCGCUCAGUGAGCCCCUGCAUCCUCUACCAGGGCCUGCGUCUCUCCAGGCAGCACCUGUGGAAGGCAACUACCAUGUGCUGGUCACUGCCACAGCGGGAGGAGUCAGAGGUGAGGAAAUCUCAGUCCCAGAGCAGGGACUGGCAGCAGAGACAGGAGGUUUUUAGAGACUCUUCGGCCACAGCGGGACCAACAGCCCAGCUUGCCCAGCACUGAGUGGGCCUCAGAACACAGAGCUGCCAGUUUUCAAAGCAGGGCCCCGCAGCUGGGGCCUUGGCUCCAGGUCCUCCCAGCAGCAUUUAUCUCCUCACCUGACUGCAGCUGCCGGAGGAGCUGGCCUAUCUCUCCUGGCAGACAGUUAGGUUCCACGAAAGUGGCUUCUGGUGGGACGGGUAUUUUGAUUCUGUCACAGGAGCUGGCCCAGGCCUUGUUCCUGAACCAAUGGAUAAAGGCAUUCAUGCUCUGAAAUUGACAAACUGCCACACCAGGGCAGCGGGGUUCUAGGGUUCAGGGGCGAGCAAAGCUGGACACCAUCCCAAGGAACCUAUAGAGCAGCAUGGGGGCAUUGAAUGGCAGCCUCCAAAACAGAGAUGUCCACGGUCUCAGCUCCGGAACCGUGAAUGGGACCUUAUUUGGAAAAAGGGUCUUUGCAGAUGCGAUUAAGGAUCUCAAGAUGAGAUCGUCCUGGAUUUAGGGCAGGCCCUAAUCCAAUGGCAGCUGCCUUUACAAGAGAAAGGCAAAGGCGGAUUGGAGAGAGAGAAGACAGCGUGAAGACGGGGGUGGAGAGUGCAGCGACGUGGCCACAAGCCGAGGAACACCUGGGGCCCCCAGAAGCUGGCAGAGGCAACAAGGACCCUCCCCUAGAACGUGGGGGUCGGGGGAGCGCAGCCCUGCCUGCACCUGGGCUUCACACGGGUCUGUGGUGAACUGUUUCCGAAGCUUCAGGGCUCAUACAUCCAGUAAGGAAACUGGAAUUACAGUCGCUCCCUGCGGCGAGGACCCAGCAGGAGAGCCCGGGCUGAGAGCGGGAAGGCGUCUCCAGGAGCCACACCGAGGGUUAUCAGCAGAAAACACACGCCUGAAUGGGCGUGUCGGUGGAGCUGAGCCUGUCGCCUCAUCCAGUGCCACGGAGGAGCCCUCGCGGUGUCUCCCUGCAGAGGUCACACUGGGGUCACAACUGAGGCUGCCUUGGGCAAGGGCCAACCGCAAGGCUGUUUCUGAAACCAUAAAGUACCAAGAGAAUGCCCUGUGUUACAAUUAAUAAAUAGCAUUGUUAAUCGACGUGAACAAAGCCGGCCUUCAUUGCUUUAUUUGGUGGCCCAUUUGGUGAAGCACUUAAGAAGAGUCCUGGCCAACAUACACACAUC
rnacentral:lncRNA from 1 species